UACGAAGGGGGCUAGCGUUGCUCGGAAUCACUGGGCGUAAAGGGUGCGUAGGCGGGUCUUUUAAGUCAGGGGUGAAAUCCUGGAGCUCAACUCCAGAACUGCCUUCGAUACUGGCGAUCUUGAGUCCGGGAGAGGUGAGUGGAACUCCGAGUGUAGAGGUGAAAUUCGUAGAUAUUCGGAAGAACACCAGUGGCGAAGGCGGAUCUCUGGGCCAUUACUGACGCUGAGGAGCGAAAGCGUGGGGAGCGAACAGG
rnacentral:rRNA from 1 species